UGCUUCUGCCUGUACCAGGAGGCCUUCCGUGCCGGACUUCGACUUCCUCUUCCGCCUUUUGUCAUUGCUCUUUUUCGGUUUCUGGACAUUUUUCUGGCUUCGGUUGCACCGAACUCCUUUAGGUUUUUGAUAGGGUUCCUCUCUCUUUGUCAUAUAGUCGAAGUCUAGCCCACCCUUUCCUUGUUUAGAUACUUCUACACCUUC
rnacentral:lncRNA from 1 species